UCUUGGACAGACCCUAUUCGAAAACCGAUCUGCGACGCUAUAGCUUUGGGUACUUUCAGGGCCCGUCUUGAAACACGGACCAAGGAGUCUAGCAUAUACGCGAGUCAUUGGGAAUCGCAAACCUAAAGGCGUAAUGAAAGUAAAACUUUUCCUCGUGAGAAGUUAGGGAAGACGGGCGGCGGCUUCGUCGCCGUCCCGCACUCCCGGGGUGUCUCGUUCUCAUUGCGAGAUGAGGCGCACCAAGAGCGUAUACGCUGGGACCCGAAAGAUGGUGAACUAUGCCUGGUCAGGACGAAGUCAGGGGAAACCCUGAUGGAGGUCCGUAGCGAUUCUGACGUGCAAAUCGAUCGUCGGAACUGGGUAUAGGGGCGAAAGACUAAUCGAACCAUCUAGUACUGGUU
rnacentral:rRNA from 1 species